rnacentral:rRNA from 1 species
CGGCGCGCUAACACAUGCAAGUCGAACGGUUAAAGCACCUCCGGGUGUGCAUAAAGUGGCGAACGGCUGAGUAACACGUGGGCAACCUGCCCCUCGCACCGGGAUAGCCUCGGGAAACCGUGGGUAAUACCGGAUACUCCGCCACCCCCGCAUGGGGGAGGCGGGAAAGCGUACGACGGCGGGGGAUGGGCCCGCGGCCUGUUAGCUCGUUGGCGGGGUAACGGCCCACCAAGGCGAUUAUGGGUAGCCGGGUUGAGAGACCGACCGGCCAGAUUGGGACUGAGACACGGCCCAGACUCCUACGGGAGGCAGCAGUGGGGAAUCUUGCACAAUGGGCGAAAGCCUGAUGCCAGCGACGCCGCGUGCGGGACGAAGGCCCUCGGGUUGUAAACCGCUUUCAGCAGGGACGAGGCGCAAGUGACGGUACCUGCAGAAGAAGCCCCGGCUAACUACGUGCCAGCAGCCGC